rnacentral:lncRNA from 1 species
CAGGCUGCUAGACCUAUUUCUAGCAGUUUCUAAUCAUCCACUGAGUCUCUAAUUAAAAUAUCAUAUUUUUAAUUUCUAGAAAUUCUAUUUUUUCCCAAUUCUGCCUGGUUAUUUUUGACAGCCUCUUAUUCCUGCAUUGUCUUUUCAGAAUUCUCUUUCUUUCCUUAAACCUAUUAAACAUCUUUACUGUAUAUUCUAUGCCUAAACAUUACAUGAUUUGCAAUCCUCUCAAGUGUGAUUCUAGAGUUCAAUGGUACGGCUAUUGCUCAUUUAGAGUGACAUGCCUCCUUCUGACUUUUAAAAUUGUUUGUUGUAAGCUCAAGGUUGUUGGAAUUGUAUCCAUGGGAAUCCUUCAAAGCAUGGAUUUAUUUAUUACUUAUUUUUAUUGAGUCAAGGUCUCGC